rnacentral:lncRNA from 1 species
GUGAGCCUGACCAGUUUAUGCCCAUUUGCAGGGGCAAUCAUCAAAGCUAUCAAUUGUCCAGACUUGGAAUUAGGAUUCAAAAGUAUCUUGAAGGUGAUCCCAGAGAAAUCCUUAAAACUGACUGCUCUGAUGGCUUUAGCCAAGGCAAGAUUGAUCAUCAUCAUGAUGCGCUGUCCCUUUGCAUCCUUACUUAUUCCAGAGCCCUCCAGUUCUCAGUUUUGAGUCCCAGAUUGUAGGUUCUGAGUCGAGCCAAAAGUUUAUUCACAUCUUUUAUUGGAUAUCCAUAGUGCGGUAUGCCACUUUCAUGAACUUGGGA